ACAGCUUCAGAAAACCAUGCAAGAAUUAGAGCUGGUUAAAAAGGAUGCCCAACAAACCACAUUGAUGAAUAUGGAAAUAGCUGAUUAUGAACGUUUGAUGAAAGAACUAAAUCAAAAGUUAACUAAUAAAAACAACAAGAUAGAAGAUUUGGAGCAAGAAAUAAAAAUUCAAAAACAGAAACAAGAAACCCUACAAGAAGAAAUAAGUGAGUUAAAGAAAAUUCACUUUACUUUUUAAUUAUUUCAUCAUAACAACUUGAUUUGGUGGGGGGCAUUACUUGUUUAUUUCACCAGUCUUUCACUGUCAGUCAGGUGUUUAACACGGUGAUAAAUGUUACUGGGGACCCAGAAUGGGUGUAAAACUGUUUGCCAUUAA
rnacentral:sRNA from 1 species